UUCUGUGACUCUGGAGAUUGGUCAUGGAAGUGUAGUGGAGUCCAUCAUGUCCUGUCAAGCAUGUGGAUACUCUGCCCCAACCAAGCAAGUAGUCUGCAAGGAUCACAUGGUGUAAACCGUGUCUUCCUGGCAGUUGAAAACCGAGGCACAGGCUCAGGCUGGCAACAGAGCAAGCAAAACUCGGUGCUACUUGCAGUGGUGGGAUAGUAGGGUU
rnacentral:SRP_RNA from 1 species